UAUAAUUUACUUUUAGCCAAUCACCUACAGUUAUGGCAAAGAGGACAAAGAUCCCAUUAAAUAUACAUAUUUCUACAGCAAGAAAAACCCACAGAGCGGAUUUACCAUUCCCAGGAAUAAGGUGUCCAACUUCCUCCCUGAGUGUUUUUUGGAACAAACCAUCAGGCUUUACUGGAAGAAUAAAGAUGAAAAACAUGAGCAUUCUAAAAAACGUAAGGAUUCUAUCAUCAAGAAGUUCGGGGACUGGUGCAAGGUCAACAAAUUUGAGGUGGACAUUUUCAAUGACAGUGACAACAAGCGUCGUCAGCCUGCUCAAGAUGAAGCAGAUUCAUCUACAUCGGGUUCCACGCACGGAAAGUCAAAAAGACAAAGACAGUAAAGACAAAGACAUAAAGAUGCACUUAUAAUCAUCAACUUGACCUUUAACAAGCUUAAAAUCAUGUUCUUCAAAUUAAAUAUUAAAAAAUUGUUUGAAAGUGCUUCAUUUAUAUGCCAUUUUGCUGAAAUCUCCUGAAUGUGCCACUUGUGUACUGAUAUACUGUCAGGGAGGUAUCAGGAUGACCCAGAUGCAGGACAAGACAACAAGCCAGAGUGAAUGAACCAAAAAUGUUUAGCAAAAAGUGCCACUCAAAACUCAAAAGAGACCUAAACCAGUGGAGAGACAAAACCACUUAAUUAAACCUUAAAACAAAUUAACUUAAAGUGCAGGCAGCUGUGUGCCAAUCCAUGGAGAGCCAACAGGAAGGAGGCGGAGCCCUCCAGGAAAAGCCACAGCCAACCUGCACAGGAAAAGAACACAAGAAUGAGUAAAAAGAACUUAACAGAACUGACAGACUGUAACAUAUAACUGUAACAAUAUACUGCGUCUUAAUUUUUACUUUAUUAUUAUAAUGCCUCUAAAGGUUUGUUAAGGGAAAUAAUGCCUUUUAAUGAUUAUUUUCAUAUAAAGUAGUAAAACAUUUCAAUUUCAUUUUACUUGUUUUUGUGGGUAAUUUUCCUGUAUAUUUUAGAAUCAGAAAUCUAUACUUUGAUGUUACUUUUUAAUUAUAGUAACAUCAAAGUAUAUAUUGUGUAUAGGUGAUUAAUCAGUUUAUAAACUGAUUAAUCACCUAUCCAGUUGGUGAGGGGAAAAUACUUAUCUUAAAUAUAUUCUUGUAAUCAGUGUAUGUAACAGAAAUAUUUAAUAUAUAAUGUUUUUAUUUAAAUGAUUAAUUGUUCAGAUGACUUAUUGGAAAUUGUUUGUUUAAAAGAAAAUGAAUAAAGUUU